UGGUUGAACCAUUGAAGAUCAUACUGAAAGGAAAUUAUAUUUCCCAACGUUGGUUGAAGACAAGGAGAGGAUCAGACGAAAAAUUUGAAUUUAGGGAUUAAAGAGUUGAAUUUAUCUUCCAAAAAGGCAAAACUAUCACAACCAAAACCCACGGCAGCUGUAGGGAAAAAUCCCGGGGAAGAGAGAGCAAGCUGCGACUCGGGAAGAAGCUUGAAUUCCUUGAUAGCUGGAUUGCAUAAAACAAUGGGUUGAGGUCUGUAAUGAGAAAACGGCUUAAAAGGAUGGUGGUGGAGGAUGAUGAGAGCUUGGUGCCCUUCGAAGAGGAUAGGUGUUUGGCUGCAAAGUUGGGGUUAUUGAUCAAAGUACUCCAUGACCUACGGACACA